ACUCAAAUGAAUUGACGGGGGCCCGCACAAGCGGAGGAGCAUGUGGUUUAAUUCGAUGAUACGCGAGGAACCUUACCUGGGCUUGAAAGUUAGUGACGUCUCGAGAAAUCGGGAUUCCCGCAAGGGCACAAAACUAGGUGCUGCAUGGCUGUCGUCAGCUCGUGCCGUGAGGUGUUGGGUUAAGUCCCGUAACGAGCGCAACCCCUAUCAUUAGUUGCCAUCAGGUCAUGCUGGGGACUCUAAUGAGACUGCCCGCGCAAGCGGUGAGGAAGGUGGGGAUGACGUCAAGUCAGCACGGCCCUUACGUCCAGGGCUACACACGUGCUACAAUGGCCGGUACAGAAGGAUGCUACUUGGUGACAAGAUGCAAAUCUCCAAAACCGGUCUCAGUUCGGAUCGAAGUCUGCAACUCGACUUCGUGAAGCUGGAUUCGCUAGUAAUCGCGUAUCAGCAAUGACGCGGUGAAUACGUUCCCGGGCCUUGCACACACCGCCCGU
rnacentral:rRNA from 1 species